AUUGAACGCUGGCGGCAUGCCUUACACAUGCAAGUCGAACGGCAGCACGGGUGCUUGCCCCUGGUGGCGAGUGGCGAACGGGUGAGUAAUACAUCGGAACAUGUCCUGUAGUGGGGGAUAGCCCGGCGAAAGCCGGAUUAAUACCGCAUACGAUCUACGGAUGAAAGCGGGGGACCUUCGGGCCUCGCGCUAUAGGGUGGGCGGAUGGCUGAUUAGCUAGUGGGUGGGGUAAAGGCCUACCAAGGCGACGAUCAGUAGCUGGUCUGAGAGGACGACCAGCCACACUGGGACUGAGACACGGCCCAGACUCCUACGGGAGGCAGCAGUGGGGAAUUUUGGACAAUGGGCGAAAGCCUGAUCCAGCAAUGCCGCGUGUGUGAAGAAGGCCUUCGGGUUGUAAAGCACUUUUGUCCGGAAAGAAAUCCUUGGCCCUAAUACGGUCGGGGGAUGACGGUACCGGAAGAAUAAGCACCGGCUAACUACGUG
rnacentral:rRNA from 1 species